CAGCCGCCGUGGUAAUACGUAGGGUGCGAGCGUUAAUCGGAUUUACUGGGCGUAAAGCGUGCGCAGGCGGCCCGUUAAGACAGGUGUGAAAUCCCUGGGCUCAACCUAGGAAUUGCGCUUGUGACUGGCGGGCUCGAGUACGGUAGAGGGGGGUGGAAUUCCUGGUGUAGCAGUGAAAUGCGUAGAGAUCAGGAGGAACUCCGAUGGCGAAGGCAGCCCCCUGGGCCUGUACUGACGCUCAUGCACGAAAGCGUGGGGAGCAAACAGGAUUAGAUACCCUGGUAGUCCACGCCCUAAACGAUGGGUACUAGCCGUUUGGUGCGCGAGAGCGCUGAGUGGCGAAGCUAACGCGUGAAGUACCCCGCCUGGGGAGUACGGCCGCAAGGUUGAAACUUAAAGGAAUUGGCGGG
rnacentral:rRNA from 1 species